ACUUCCCGUCAGCACAGGCGUCCCUCCUCCGCUGUGGGGACCCUCGUGAUGACCCGGGGCCCACCGGGGGAUCCAGGACACUCUCCGUCUCAGUCCCACUCGCAACCUCACUCUCCCUUGGCCAAGUAACACAACAUGUUCACAGGCUCCAGGGAUUAGGACAGGGCAUCUUUUAACUUUAUUUAUUUUAAUUAAUUUUUUUUUUUUUGAAAUGGAGUUUCACUCUUGUUGCUGAGGCUGGAGUUCAAUGGCGUGAUCUCAGUUCACUGCAAACUCUGCCUCCCGGGUUCAAGCGAUUCUCCUGUCUCAGCCUCCCAGGUAGCUGGGAUUACAGCACCAGAGGAGCGUGAGCCCCAGGGGGCACGGACUUGUGUUUUUUUCUGCUGUGUCACUGAUGAGGAAACUGAGGCCCAGCAGUGAGAAACUGGCAUGAGGUGGCAGAGAACCAGGAGGCCUCCUGGGCUUUCGGCCCCACACACCAGGGUGUCUGGCCUGUGAGUAGAGACGGGGUUUCGCCCUGUUGGCCAGGCUGGUCUGGAAUUCCUGACCUCAAGUGAUCCACCCGCCUCAGCCUCCCAAAGUGUUGGGAUUACAGGUGUGAGCCACUGCGCCCGGCCAAGGAGUGAUGUUGGACAUUGUGAAUAGUGAAGAGGAACAUUCCAUGCUGGCAGAGAAGGAAGCCAUGCCGGGCAGAAAGAAGCACCUGGAAGCCCAGAGGCCACACAGAAGGGCUCACGGGAGUGGAGAGUCUGGUUUCAGGGGGGCCGUGAGGGCUGAAGAUGCAGAGGCAGGCUCGGCCUCCGCUAUGAGGAGGGCCCUGAGUAGGCCGGGGGCGUGUUUAGGAUGGACUGGAGAGCUGUGACAGGGCUCAGCUAAGAGACGCCUGAAGCUGGGUGAGCCUGUAAUCCCAGCUACUGGGGAGGCUGAGGUGGGAGGAUCACUUAAGCUCAGGAGUUCAAGACCAGCCAGACCUUGUCUGUAAAGAAAGAACCACUGGGCCGGGUGUGGUGGCUCGCGCCUGUAAUCCUAGCACUUCGGGAGGCUGAGGCGGGUGGAUCACGAGGUCAGGAGAUUGAGAUCAUCCCGGUUAACAUGGUGAAACCCCGUCUCUACUAAAAAUACAAAAAAGUAGCCGGGCGUGGUGGCGGGCGCCUGUAGUCCCAGCUACUCGGGAGGCUGAGGCAGGAGAAUGGCAUGAACCCGGGAGGCGGAGCUCGCAGUGAGCGAGAUCGCGCAACUGCACUCCAGCCUGGGCGGCAGAGCGAGGCUCUGUCUCAAAAAAAAAAAAAAAAAAAGAACAAACCACUGGAUUGAGGUCUGGCUGGGGCUGAGGCCACAGGGACAGACAGGCACAGGAGGCAACAUCUCCCCAGAGUCCCAGCGUCUAGCUUAGGCAAGUGAGCGCGGAGCAGAAGAAAGCCCCCAAGGCUCAGCGCCUGCCUGGCGGCGAGACCCAGGUGGGUCACUCCGCCAGAGCCCUGCUGCUCCAGGGGCUGGGGUGGGUGAUGGUCACCUCUU